rnacentral:rRNA from 1 species
GUCGAGGGGCAGCGGGGAGGUAGCAAUACUUCCGCCGGCGACCGGCGCACGGGUGAGUAACACGUAUGGAACCUGCCCGUAGCAGGGGGAUAAACGGAAGAAAUUCCGUCUAAUACCGCGUAAUAACUCCGAGAGGCAUCUCAUGGAGUUUAAAGGGUAACACCGGCUACGGAUGGCCAUGCGGCGCAUUAGCUAGUUGGCGGGGUAACGGCCCACCAAGGCGACGAUGCGUAGGGGUUCUGAGAGGAAGGUCCCCCACACUGGUACUGAGACACGGACCAGACUCCUACGGGAGGCAGCAGUGAGGAAUAUUGGUCAAUGGGCGCGAGCCUGAACCAGCCAAGUCGCGUGAGGGAAGACGGUCCUAUGGAUUGUAAACCUCUUUUGUCGGGGAGCAAAAGACGCCACGUGUGGCGUUCCGAGAGUACCCGAAGAAAAAGCAUCGGCUAACUCCGUGCCAGCAGCCGCGGUAAUACGGAGGAUGCGAGCGUUAUCCGGAUUUAUUGGGUUUAAAGGGUGCGCAGGCGGAAGAUCAAGUCAGCGGUAAAAUUGAGAGGCUCAACCUCUUCGAGCCGUUGAAACUGGUUUUCUUGAGUGAGCGAGAAGUAUGCGGAAUGCGUGGUGUAGCGGUGAAAUGCAUAGAUAUCACGCAGAACUCCGAUUGCGAAGGCAGCAUACCGGCGCUCAACUGACGCUCAUGCACGAAAGUGUGGGUAUCGAACAGGAUUAGAUACCCUGGUAGUCCACACAGUAAACGAUGAAUACUAAUUGUUCGGGGAGAAUGAUCCCUGAGUGAUACAGCGAAAGCGUUAAGUAUUCCACCUGGGGAGUACGCCGGCNACGGUGAAACUCAAAGGAAUUGACNGGGGCCCGCACAAGCGGAGGAACAUGUGGUUUAAUUCGA